rnacentral:rRNA from 1 species
AGAGAUAUUUUUAAUUUGGUUUUAUGUUUAUUUUGAUUAAUUUAAUAUAAUCAUUUUUAAUUAUUUUGGUUUUUGUAUAGGUUAUAGAUUUAAUUUGUUGAUUGAUAGUUUAUUAGUAUUGUGAAAGGUUAUUGAAAUAAUGUGAAAAUUUUAGUUUUUUAAAAGUAGCUUAUUUUGGCGUACCUUGGGUAUCAGGGUUUAUUAAAAAGUUUUUAAGUAUUUAAAUUUUCUCGAUUUAAAGAGAGCUAAUUAAUUUUGUUAGUUAUUGUGGAAUAAAUAUUAAUGAAAAUUAGUUAGAAAUGAAACGUUAUUCGUUCUUUAAUGUAUCUAGUUUUUUGAGAAAUGAAUUUAAUUCAGUUUAUUAUUUUAAUUAAUUUAAUUUAUUAAGUUAAUUUGUGUAAUAAAUAAUGUUCUGGGGGAUAAGCUUCGGGACAAAUCCUAUAAGUUUAAUGUUUAUAUUAAUGAAAUUUUAUAGGCUUAGAAUUAGCUAUUUAUAAUGGUGUUAUAACUUUAUUUUAUUUUUGAAAAUUAUUUUUGGAAAGAUUUUGGGUUUUUUAUCAAAAUAUGUUAAUUAAUUAAAUAUUAAUGGAGAUAAUGAUAAAAUUAGUAUAUUUUAUAAUGUUAUGGAAUUUUAUACUUAAUGUAAGGUUAUAUUAAGGAAUUAGGCAAAUUUACACUCGCCUGUUUAACAAAAACAUGUCCUCAUGAAAUAAAUAUGAGGUCUGACCUGCCCACUGAAUUUAUUUUGAAGGGCCGCAGUAUUUUGACUGUGCAAAGGUAGCAUAAUCAUUAGUCUUUUAAUUGGAGGCUAGAAUGAAUGGUUGGACGAGGUGAAGACUGUCUCAAUAUAAUUGAUUUAGAAUUUAACUUUUGAGUUAAAAGGCUCAAAUUUUUUUAAAGGACGAGAAGACCCUAUAGAGCUUUAUAUUUAAUAAUUUAAAAUACUUGUAGUUAAAUCUUAGAUAUUAUUUAUGUAAAUAUUUUGUUGGGGUGACAGGAAGAUAUAAUUAACUCUUUUUAUUUAUAAACAUUGAUUUAUGAGUGGUUGAUCCAUUAAUAGUGAUUAUAAGACUAAGUUACCUUAGGGAUAACAGCGUAAUUUUUUUUGAGAGUUCUUAUCGACAAAAAAGAUUGCGACCUCGAUGUUGGAUUAAAGGUAAUCUUGGGUGUAGAAGUUCAAGUUUUAGGUCUGUUCGACCUUUAAAUCUUUACAUGAUCUGAGUUCAGACCGGUGUAAGCCAGGUCGGUUUCUAUCCUUAAUUUAUUAUGAUAUUUUAGUACGAAAGGACCAAAUAUUGGAAAAAAAUUUUUUUUAUUUAUUGAAUUAAAUUAAUAUUCUA